CUGUCCUACGGGGGGCAGCAGUGGGGGAUAUUGCACAAUGGGGGAAACCCUGAUGCAGCGACGCCGCGUGUGGGAAGACGGUCCUCUGGAUUGUAAACCACUGUCCCCAGGGACGAAGAUGACGGUACCUGGGGAGGAAGCUCCGGCUAACUACGUGCCAGCAGCCGCGGUAAUACGUAGGGAGCAAGCGUUGUCCGGAAUUAAUGGGCGUAAAGGGAGCGUAGGCGGGAUGGCAAGUCGGGAGUUAAAUCUACCGGCUCAACUGGAAGUCGCACUCAAAACU
rnacentral:rRNA from 1 species